rnacentral:rRNA from 1 species
AUUGAACGCUGGCGGCAGGCCUAACACAUGCAAGUCGAACGAGUGGCGGACGGGUGAGUAAUGUCUGGGAACCUGCCUGAUGGAGGGGGAUAACUACGGGAAACGGUAGCUAAUACCGCAUACCAUCGGAUGUGCCCAGAUGGGAUUAGCUAGUGGGUGGGGUAAUGGCUCACCAAGGCGACGAUCCCUAGCUGGUCGGAGAGGAUGACCGUCCACACUGGAACUGGGCCACGGUCAAGACGCCUACGGGAGGCAGCAGUGGGGAAUAGUGCACAAUGGGCGAGAGCCUGAUGCAGCCAUGCCGCGUGUAUGAAGAAGGCCUUCGGGUUGUAAAGUACGUUCAGCGGGGAGGCGUUACCCGCAGAAGAAGCACCGGCUAACUCCGUGCCAGCAGCCGCGGUAAUAC